rnacentral:rRNA from 1 species
AACGAACGCUGGCGGCAUGCCUAACACAUGCAAGUCGAACGAGACCUUCGGGUCUAGUGGCGCACGGGUGCGUAACGCGUGGGAACCUGCCCUUAGGUUCGGAAUAACUCCCCGAAAGGGGUGCUAAUACCGGAUAAUGUCUUCGGACCAAAGAUUUAUCGCCUUUGGAUGGGCCCGCGUUGGAUUAGCUAGUUGGUAGGGUAAAAGCCUACCAAGGCGACGAUCCAUAGCUGGUCUGAGAGGAUGAUCAGCCACACUGGGACUGAGACACGGCCCAGACUCCUACGGGAGGCAGCAGUGGAGAAUAUUGGACGAUGGGCGAAAGCGUGAUCCAGCAAUGCCGCGUGAGUGAGGAAGGCCUUAGGGUUGUAAAGCUCUUUUACCCGGGAUGAGAAUGACAGUACCGGGAGAAUAAGCUCCGGCUAACUCCGUG